AUGCGCUCCUGCCGGAGGGGUUCGUGGAGUGAACCGACGGCCGCGGGCUCGUCAGCAAGCGGUGGGCACCGCAGGUGGACGUGCUCCACCACAGGGCCAUGCGGGUGGAACUCGGUGCUGGAGGGGAUCAUGGCUGGUGUGUCGAUGUUGGGCUGGCCGCUGUACGCGGACCACAGGAUGAACAAGGUGUUCAUGGUGGAGGAUCUGAGGAUCGCGGUGGAGAUGGUUGGGUGGCAGCAGGGGCUGGUCCGGGCCGACAAGGUGGAGGCUAAGGUUAGGCUUGUGAUGGAGUCCUAG
rnacentral:rRNA from 1 species